rnacentral:lncRNA from 1 species
AAUUUAAUUUUUUAAUUAAAUUAGAAAUUAGGUUGACCCAAGUCCUAAUUGGACUAGGACUAAUUUUUUCUUGCACUUGGCUUAUCCAAUAAAUCGAUUGAACUUGAUCCAAUCAAACCCAAACUAAAUCUAAUUAAAUUAUAUUCAAUUAGACUUAAUCUCAGCCCAUUGGCUUAAUCAAAUUAAGCCAAUUAGCAAUCAAAUUGCUAAUCGAUCCUCCUGCAACACUUGCACUAGGUUAAAUAUCAAUCGUAUUGAUCGUUUAACUCUAGAAUGAUUCUUAAUCGUUGAUCCACCAUCUGAUCGGAUCGUGAACUCUAAUGUGUGUGACCUCAUAGGUUCGAACCUAAGAUGGUAGUACAAGAAUAAAUUUUUGUACCAAUCAAAGUGAUCAUCUAGCAAUGGUAC